rnacentral:rRNA from 1 species
AACGAACGCUGGCGGCAUGCCUAACACAUGCAAGUCGAACGAGACCUUCGGGUCUAGUGGCGCACGGGUGCGUAACGCGUGGGAACCUGCCCUUAGGUUCGGAAUAACUCCCCGAAAGGGGUGCUAAUACCGGUUAAUGUCUUCGGACCAAAGAUUUUUUGCUUUUGGAUGGGCCCGCGUUGGAUUAGCUAGUUGGUAGGGUAAAAGCCUACCAAGGCGACGAUCCAUAGCUGGUCUGAGAGGAUGAUCAGCCACACUGGGACUGAGACACGGCCCAGACUCCUACGGGAGGCAGCAGUGGGGAAUAUUGGACAAUGGGCGAAAGCCUGAUCCAGCAAUGCCGCGUGAGUGAUGAAGGCCUUAGGGUUGUAAAGCUCUUUUACCCGGGAUGAUAAUGACAGUACCGGGAGAAUAAGCUCCGGCUAACUCCGUG